GGGGGCGACAGGCUUCGACGGGGAUACGGAGGUCAGGAGUUGCAUGCCGAGGUACCAUGGGGCUCGUUAAACACAUGGUAAAGAUCAACUGCCAAUAACGAACUGGCACUCGCUGCCUAAUUUAGGCUAGCGCGUUUCGCGGCCGGCGCCUGAACAGCCGCAGAGACGUCAAAAACCAGGCUGGUUCUCUUGACUUCGUCCGGGGCAAGAGGAUAAGAUAAACCGGGCUGGCCGAUUCCGAAGCUUUCCCCAAGGCGCCGGAUGAAGCGAGAGCUUAAAAUGAGGGGAUAAGCAUGUAUGAGCUACUGGCUAAAGGUUUUCGGACGCGGGUUCAAUUCCCGCCGCCUCCACCA
rnacentral:tmRNA from 1 species